ACACAUGCAAGUCGAACGAGAGAGAAGGAGCUUGCUUCUUCGAUCGAGUGGCGAACGGGUGAGUAACGCGUGAGGAACCUGCCUCAAAGAGGGGGACAACAGUUGGAAACGACUGCUAAUACCGCAUAAGCCCACGGGUCGGCAUCGACCUGAGGGAAAAGGAGCAAUCCGCUUUGAGAUGGCCUCGCGUCCGAUUAGCUAGUUGGUGAGGUAACGGCCCACCAAGGCGACGAUCGGUAGCCGGACUGAGAGGUUGAACGGCCACAUUGGGACUGAGACACGGCCCAGACUCCUACGGGAGGCAGCAGUGGGGAAUAUUGCACAAUGGGGGAAACCCUGAUGCAGCGACGCCGCGUGGAGGAAGAAGGUCUUCGGAUUGUAAACUCCUGUUGUUGAGGAAGAUAAUGACGGUACUCAACAAGGAAGUGACGGCUAACUACGUGCCAGCAGCCGCGGUAAAACGUAGGUCACAAGCGUUGUCCGGAAUUACUGGGUGUAAAGGGAGCGCAGGCGGGAAGACAAGUUGGAAGUGAAAUCUAUGGGCUUAACCCAUAAACUGCUUUCAAAACUGUUUUUCUUGAGUAGUGCAGAGGUAGGCGGAAUUCCCGGUGUAGCGGUGGAAUGCGUAGAUAUCGGGAGGAACACCAGUGGCGAAGGCGGCCUACUGGGCACCAACUGACGCUGAGGCUCGAAAGUGUGGGUAGCAAACAGGAUUAGAUACCCUGGUAGUCCACACCGUAAACGAUGAUUACUAGGUGUUGGAGGGUUGACCCUUCAGUGCCGCAGUUAACACAAUAAGUAAUCCA
rnacentral:rRNA from 1 species